UGGCGGCGUGCCUAAUACAUGCAAGUCGAACGGUCUUUCUAUGGAAGCUUGCUUCCACUGAGAAGAUAGUGGCGAACGGGUGAGUAACACGUGGGUAACCUGCCCAUAAGAGGGGGAUAACAUCCGGAAACGGGUGCUAAUACCGCAUAGUUUUCUUGAUCGCAUGAUCGGGAAAGGAAAGACGGCCUUUGUGCUGUCGCUUAUGGAUGGACCCGCGGCGUAUUAGUUAGUUGGUGAGGUAACGGCUCACCAAGACGAUGAUACGUAGCCGACCUGAGAGGGUGAUCGGCCACAUUGGGACUGAGACACGGCCCAAACUCCUACGGGAGGCAGCAGUAGGGAAUCUUCCGCAAUGGACGAAAGUCUGACGGAGCAACGCCGCGUGAGUGAAGAAAAGGUUUUCGGAUCGUAAAACUCUGUUGUCAGAGAAGAACAAGUUGGAGAGUAACUGCUCCAGCCUUGACGGUAUCUGACCAGAAAGCCACGGCUAACUACGUGCCAGCAGCCGC
rnacentral:rRNA from 1 species